GAUGAACGCUGGCGGCGUGCCUAACACAUGCAAGUCGAACGGAGUCGUUUUGGAAAUCUCUUCGGAGAUGGAAUUCUCGACUUAGUGGCGGACGGGUGAGUAACGCUUGAGCAAUCUGCCUUUAAGAGGGGGAUAACAGUCGGAAACGGCUGCUAAUACCGCAUAAAGCAUUAAAUUCGCAUGUUUUUGAUGCCAAAGGAGCAAUCCGCUUUUAGAUGAGCUCGCGUCUGAUUAGCUAGUUGGCGGGGUAACGGCCCACCAAGGCGACGAUCAGUAGCCGGACUGAGAGGUUGAACGGCCACAUUGGGACUGAGACACGGCCCAGACUCCUACGGGAGGCAGCAGUGGGGAAUAUUGCGCAAUGGGGGAAACCCUGACGCAGCAACGCCGCGUGAUUGAAGAAGGCCUUCGGGUUGUAAAGAUCUUUAAUCAGGGACGAAACAAAUGACGGUACCUGAAGAAUAAGCUCCGGCUAACUACGUG
rnacentral:rRNA from 1 species